rnacentral:rRNA from 1 species
AGAGUUUGAUCCUGGCUCAGAUUGAACGCUGGCGGCAUGCCUUACACAUGCAAGUCGAACGGUAACGCGGGGCAACCUGGCGACGAGUGGCGAACGGGUGAGUAAAGCAUCGGAACGUGCCCAGUAGUGGGGGAUAGCCCGGCGAAAGCCGGAUUAAUACCGCAUACGACCUAAGGGUGAAAGGGGGGGAUCGCAAGACCUCUCGCUAUUGGAGCGGCCGAUGUCAGAUUAGCUAGUUGGUGGGGUAAAAGCUCACCAAGGCGACGAUCUGUAGCUGGUCUGAGAGGACGACCAGCCACACUGGGACUGAGACACGGCCCAGACUCCUACGGGAGGCAGCAGUGGGGAAUUUUGGACAAUGGACGAAAGUCUGAUCCAGCCAUGCCGCGUGCGGGAAGAAGGCCUUCGGGUUGUAAACCGCUUUUGUCAGGGAAGAAAUCCUUUGAGCUAAUACCUCGGGGGGAUGACGGUACCUGAAGAAUAAGCACCGGCUAACUACGUGCCAGCAGCCGCGGUAAUACGUAGGGUGCAAGCGUUAAUCGGAAUUACUGGGCGUAAAGCGUGCGCAGGCGGUUAUGCAAGACAGAGGUGAAAUCCCCGGGCUCAACCUGGGAACUGCCUUUGUGACUGCAUAGCUUGAGUGCGGCAGAGGGGGAUGGAAUUCCGCGUGUAGCAGUGAAAUGCGUAGAUAUGCGGAGGA